rnacentral:rRNA from 1 species
GUCCUUUAGUUUAUUAAUUUAAGGUCUAACCUGCCCAAUGAGGAGUUCAAUGGCCGCAGUAUUUUAACUGUGCUAAGGUAGCAUAAUCAUUUGUCUUUUAAUUGAGGGCUGGAAUGAAGGGUUGGACGAGGUAUAGGCUUUCUUUAAUUUAGUUUGAAGAAUUUAAUUUUUGAGUUAAAAAGCUCAAAUUUAUUUAUGGGACGAGAAGACCCUAUAGAUCUUUAUAGUUUUAUAUUUUAAUAAUUUGGGGAUUUAUAUAUUUUAAGUAAAUGAACUAUUUUGUUGGGGUGACUGUAGAAUUUGAAUAACUUCUAUUUUUAUUUUCAUUAAUUAAUGUUUUUUUGAUCCAUAAUUUAUGAUUAGAAGAUUAAGUUACCUUAGGGAUAACAGCGUAAUUUCCUCGGAGAGUUCAUAUUGAUGAGGGAGUUUGCGACCUCGAUGUUGGAUUAAAAUAAGUUAUAGAUGCAGGAGUCUAUUUACUAGGUCUGUUCGACCUUUAAAUUUUU